rnacentral:lncRNA from 1 species
AUGUUGCCCUCUUCCCCAGGGUUCUUGGAUUUUACAAGGGUAACAGAUUCUAACAGACCCUCAAAGAGCCACACAACCAACUCUGGAAAUUUGGAGUUUACAGCAGAUUUAAUCCACCAGAGGGCCUACAAGGGGGAAACCUUGUCGACAGGUCUCCAAAGCCAGAAAAUCCUGCAUUACGAGAGGAGUAAAUCCAAUCCAGUACCUCGGAGAAGGAAAACCAGAGAUGGCUGUAGCUACACCUGCCCUCAGGGACUGCCUGUGUCUACGACUUCCUCUCUGUCCGUUAUCUUGACGCUUUAAUCCUGCAAAUGCCAUGUUGCCCCACGAUGCCUUUAAAAAAUGAGUCGUGUGUGCCUUUCAGUUAUUCUACUACACAUAAUUUUUAUUCGAGUAAUUUGGGCACAUGGCUAAGAGUAGUCAUUCCUUGCCAUCCGUCCCGCCGUUACCCCAUUCUCAAGAGUCGGCCACUGAUAACAAAUAUCCGGUAAUGCUUUUGUAUCUUUAAAUAGGCUUUUUCUAUCAUUGUCUGUUUUAUCAAUUUUAGACUUCAUGUAAAUGUGCUUUCUUUGCAAUAAAAGUGAUCUGAGAUAUUCAUUCAGUGGUUCCACUCCCUCUUUUCCUGGUUACUUUCAGAGGCAUACCAUACCUUAAUUUUUUAUUUCUUCAACUGUAGGCAUUGUCCUUCAUCAGCCGUCUUGCAGGACGGAGGUAUUAGUGACUGUCCUUGCCUUUAGUUCUUCUCCACUCCUUCCUUUUCCCAACUAACUUCUAUACUUUCUCAUUUGCAUUGUCAAAAUUGGUAACAUUUAUGGUCUACUCUGUUACCAAAAUUUAAUCUUCCAUAGGUUGCCUAUAGGUUGAGUCUAAAAACUGAAAGGCAAUAAAAUGUUGUCAUUAUUGUGACUUUUUGAAAAGUAUGACUGAUACAAUAUUACACUAUGAUUACAUCUUUCCCAGUAUAGAUUUUUUCCCCCAGUGAAGUUUCGAAAGCUGCCUUUUCUAUUGAACUAUCUACCUUUAGAAUAGUCUUGGUGACUUCUCUACAUAAUACCAGCUGUGGUAUUCUGUGCAGCUUUUUCCUGGAGUCUGUCCUG